CUUGCUACAUAAAAGGACACCACUGCUUCAUAAAAAAUGAAGGCGGCCAUAGUGAUAUCAUCUAUUCCCGUCACGAUGAUUUGGAUUCGGUCAGCAGAUUACCGGCGUCUAGGGCCAGUCAACGAUGACGGCGAUUCGAUUGUACAAUUUGACCGGCAAGCACAUGUAACAGUUUCGAGGAGCGUGUGCGGGUUUUGCUUGGAAUCCAGUCGCUACAGAACUCAAAGUUAGCGAGUAAGGGUUGUAUAGAUGAAAUCGGACAAGAGGGAAACAAUGAUGGUUAAGAUGGAAUAUGUUGGUGACCGACGGUGACGAAGAAGUUGCCAGAAACGAAGAAGCCUAAUCGAGUAAUAGACAGCCAUAGUUCGGUCCUCCGAAACCUGAUGGACAACCAUAGCUCUCAGGGUUCAGCCAUAAAACAAAACUGUAGGAAGAGUACAAAGAUGUACCCCUGUUUGAAGAGGAACAAGCUGCUCGUCAUGCUGCUAUUGCAGUCGCUGAGGACGGGAGCAGUAGUAUGCACAUAUGGAUGAAUCUGAGUUCUGUAAGAAGUGGGUUGGUGACAUUACCGUAAAGUAAGGGAUUGGUCAGUAGACUUUUCUGUUGCCGACUUUCCGCAAUCAACAUCAAGAGUUCCAAAAUAUAAGUUGAUAGCCAUUCAUAACCAAGCAGAUUGAAUGAAAAUGCCAAAGUUACAAAGAACAUCCGGGUGAAAGUACGGUUGUUGACAAGAGCAUAAGCAUGGGUUGAUGAAGGGAUAAAAGACCAUAUUGCCUUUGAAAGAUGGCAAUCCCAACUGAUGACUUGGCAAAUGAGAGCUCAACUUCUCAGGUACUGUGAGCAGGGAGUUAAUUGGUAACCAACCUCGAGGUGUAGACAAAAUCAAACAAUAUGUUGUUGAUUAAUUAUAUGGAAUCGCUUUUUAUGCCUCUUUGUAAAGCAAGAAAAGUUGACGAAGAAGAACGUUACAAGUCGAUAAUGAAGAAAACAGCCACCAAGGUCAUGAAGUAGACUGACUACCAACACAAAGAAAGUGAUGGUUGUAUACGAAUUUCUUGAUUAUAAACGCAAAAACAAGGUCCUGGCCAUCCAAGUUUACUGAUCAUUCCCGCAACUCUUUGAUUGCUUCUGUUAUAGUUGACGAACGACACCAACAAGCCGCCGCCAACCUAACCGUUGACAUCCAACGAUCGCUGCAAAGGGUUUGAAUUUUGUAUAUCUGUUCCUUGCUUUAACAAACAACUAAUUAAGCCCUUGUAUUAUAGGAGUCGGAACCUUUAGAUAUUGAUCCAUGUGACUUGUAGUUCAUAAAAUGAUCACAUUGAUUGAUAAAAAUGAAGAGACAGAACCGUAGACUGACCGUCAAGCAUAUUUUGGGCCUCAUCCAGUUAACCCAGCUUAUGUCUUUCUGUUCGCUUAUUUGUUGUUAACAAUCGUGUAACAGUUACAAAAACUUUUACUUUUUAGUCAUUUAUUGGGUGUUU
rnacentral:lncRNA from 1 species